UGGGGAAUCUUGCGCAAUGGGCGAAAGCCUGACGCAGCAACGCCGCGUGAGGGAUGACGGCCUUCGGGUUGUAAACCUCUUUCGAGCAGGGACGAUGAUGACGGUACCUGCAGAAGAAGCUCCGGCCAACUACGUGCCAGCAGCCGCGGUAAUACGUAGGGAGCGAGCGUUGUCCGGAAUCAUUGGGCGUAAAGAGCUCGUAGGCGGCUUGGUAAGUCGGAUGUGAAACCUCCAGGCUCAACCUGGAGUCGCCAUCCGAUACUGCCAUGGCUAGAGUCCGGUAGGGGCCCACGGAACUCCUGGUGUAGCGGUGAAAUGCGCAGAUAUCAGGAAGAACACCGGUGGCGAAGGCGGUGGGCUGGGCCGGCACUGACGCUGAGGAGCGAAAGCGUGGGGAGCGAACAGG
rnacentral:rRNA from 1 species